GGCAUUCGAACGGCAGCACGGGUACUUGUGCCUGGUGGCGAGUGGCGAACGGGUGAGUAAUACAUCGGAACGUACCUUAUCGUGGGGGAUAACGCAGCGAAAGCUGUGCUAAUACCGCAUACGCCCUGAGGGGGAAAGCGGGGGAUCGAAAGACCUCGCGCGAUUAGAGCGGCCGAUGCUUGAUUAGCUUGUUGGUGGGGUAAAAGCCCACCAAGGCGACGAUCAAUAGCUGGUCUGAGAGGACGAUCAGCCACACUGGGACUGAGACACGGCCCAGACUCCUACGGGAGGCAGCAGUGGGGAAUUUUGGACAAUGGGGGCAACCCUGAUCCAGCAAUGCCGCGUGAGUGAAGAAGGCCUUCGGGUUGUAAAGCUCUUUUGUCAGGGAAGAAACACCGGCUCUAACACAGUCCGGGAAUGACGGUACCUGAAGAAUAAGCACCGGCUAACUCUGUG
rnacentral:rRNA from 1 species